GACGAACGCUGGCGGCGUGCUUAACACAUGCAAGUCGAACGGAAAGGCCCUGCUUUUGUGGGGUGCUCGAGUGGCGAACGGGUGAGUAACACGUGAGUAACCUGCCCUUGACUUUGGGAUAACUUCAGGAAACUGGGGCUAAUACCGGAUAGGAGCUCCUGCUGCAUGGUGGGGGUUGGAAAGUUUCGGCGGUUGGGGAUGGACUGGCGGCUUAUCAGCUUGUUGGUGGGGUAGUGGCUUACCAAGGCUUUGACGGGUAGCCGGCCUGAGAGGGUUACCGGCCACAUUGGGACUGAGAUACGGCCCAGACUCCUACGGUAGGCAGCAGUGGGGAAUAUUGCACAAUGGGCGGAAGCCUGAUGCAGCAACGCCGCGUGCGGGAUGACGGCCUUCGGGUUGUAAACCGCUUUCGCCUGUGACGAAGCGUGAGUGACGGUAAUGGGUAAAGAAGCACCGGCUAACUACGUG
rnacentral:rRNA from 1 species